rnacentral:rRNA from 1 species
AGAGUUUGAUCAUGGCUCAGAUUGAACGCUGGCGGCAGGCCUAACACAUGCAAGUCGAGCGGUAGCACAGAGAGCUUGCUCUCGGGUGACGAGCGGCGGACGGGUGAGUAAUGUCUGGGAAACUGCCUGAUGGAGGGGGAUAACUACUGGAAACGGUAGCUAAUACCGCAUAACGUCGCAAGACCAAAGUGGGGGACCUUCGGGCCUCAUGCCAUCAGAUGUGCCCAGAUGGGAUUAGCUAGUAGGUGGGGUAACGGCUCACCUAGGCGACGAUCCCUAGCUGGUCUGAGAGGAUGACCAGCCACACUGGAACUGAGACACGGUCCAGACUCCUACGGGAGGCAGCAGUGGGGAAUAUUGCACAAUGGGCGCAAGCCUGAUGCAGCCAUGCCGCGUGUGUGAAGAAGGCCUUCGGGUUGUAAAGCACUUUCAGCGGGGAGGAAGGCGUUAAGGUUAAUAACCUUGGCGAUUGACGUUACCAGCAGAAGAAGCACCGGCUAACUCCGUGCCAGCAGCCGCGGUAAUACGGAGGGUGCAAGCGUUAAUCGGAAUUACUGGGCGUAAAGCGCACGCAGGCGGUCUGUCAAGUCGGAUGUGAAAUCCCCGGGCUCAACCUGGGAACUGCAUUCGAAACUGGCAGGCUAGAGUCUUGUAGAGGGGGGUAGAAUUCCAGGUGUAGCGGUGAAAUGCGUAGAGAUCUGGAGGAAUACCGGUGGCGAAGGCGGCCCCCUGGACAAAGACUGACGCUCAGGUGCGAAAGCGUGGGGAGCAAACAGGAUUAGAUACCCUGGUAGUCCACGCCGUAAACGAUGUCGAUUUGGAGGUUGUGCCCUUGAGGCGUGGCUUCCGGAGCUAACGCGUUAAAUCGACCGCCUGGGGAGUACGGCCGCAAGGUUAAAACUCAAAUGAAUUGACGGGGGCCCGCACAAGCGGUGGAGCAUGUGGUUUAAUUCGAUGCAACGCGAAGAACCUUACCUGGUCUUGACAUCCACAGAACUUUCCAGAGAUGGAUUGGUGCCUUCGGGAACUGUGAGACAGGUGCUGCAUGGCUGUCGUCAGCUCGUGUUGUGAAAUGUUGGGUUAAGUCCCGCAACGAGCGCAACCCUUAUCCUUUGUUGCCAGCGGUUCGGCCGGGAACUCAAAGGAGACUGCCAGUGAUAAACUGGAGGAAGGUGGGGAUGACGUCAAGUCAUCAUGGCCCUUACGACCAGGGCUACACACGUGCUACAAUGGCAUAUACAAAGAGAAGCGACCUCGCGAGAGCAAGCGGACCUCAUAAAGUAUGUCGUAGUCCGGAUUGGAGUCUGCAACUCGACUCCAUGAAGUCGGAAUCGCUAGUAAUCGUAGAUCAGAAUGCUACGGUGAAUACGUUCCCGGGCCUUGUACACACCGCCCGUCACACCAUGGGAGUGGGUUGCAAAAGAAGUAGGUAGCUUAACCUUCGGGAGGGCGCUUACCACUUUGUGAUUCAUGACUGGGGUGAAGUCGUAACAAGGUAACCGUAGGGGAACCUGCGGUUGGAUCACCU